rnacentral:rRNA from 1 species
CGGACGGGUGAGUAAUGUCUGGGAAACUGCCUGAUGGAGGGGGAUAACUACUGGAAACGGUAGCUAAUACCGCAUAACGUCGCAAGACCAAAGAGGGGGACCUUCGGGCCUCUUGCCAUCAGAUGUGCCCAGAUGGGAUUAGCUAGUAGGUGGGGUAACGGCUCACCUAGGCGACGAUCCCUAGCUGGUCUGAGAGGAUGACCAGCCACACUGGAACUGAGACACGGUCAAG